GACGAACGCUGGCGGCGUGCUUAACACAUGCAAGUCGAACGGAAAGGCCCUGCUUUUGUGGGGUGCUCGAGUGGCGAACGGGUGAGUAACACGUGAGUAACCUGCCCUUGACUUUGGGAUAACUUCAGGAAACUGGGGCUAAUACCGGAUAGGAGCUCCUGCUGCAUGGUGGGGGUUGGAAAGUUUCGGCGGUUGGGGAUGGACUCGCGGCUUAUCAGCUUGUUGGUGGGGUAGUGGCUUACCAAGGCUUUGACGGGUAGCCGGCCUGAGAGGGUGACCGGCCACAUUGGGACUGAGAUACGGCCCAGACUCCUACGGGAGGCAGCAGUGCGGAAUAUUGCACAAUGGGCGGAAGCCUGAUGCAGCAACGCCGCGUGCGGGAUGACGGCCUUCGGGUUGUAAACCGCCUUCGCCUGUGACGAAGCGUGAGUGACGGUAAUGGGUAAAGAAGCACCGGCUAACUACGUG
rnacentral:rRNA from 1 species